rnacentral:rRNA from 11 species
UUUUGCAUUGACUUGUGCUCAGAUACCCAAAAAGCAUCUGAUCUGGUAUUAUCUUGGACACUAAGCAGGAUCUCCCCUGGUUAGUACUUAUAUGGGAGACCACCAAUGAAUACAGGUGCUGUAAGCU